CAAGCUAAUGGGUUCAUACCCCAUUUAUAGAGGUAUCAAUCCUCUCCUUUUUAAUGACCAACAACUCUACAAAACUUCUCUUCCUAUCAACAUUAAUGAUAGGAACGAUCCUGUCCAUUUCAUCAAAUUCCUGAUUUGGGGUUUGAAUAGGACUUGAGAUCAACUUACUUUCAUUUAUUCCGCUCCUAACAAGAAAUAAAAAUAUAAUAAUAAAUGAAUCAUCAAUUAAAUAUUUUAUUGUCCAAGCAAUAGCAUCGACAAUAUUAUUAUUUUCAAUUUUGCUGAUUCAAAUAAAAUAUCCCAUGGGAUGGGAAACAGAAUUUAUCCCAUCAAUAAUAAUUAGAUCUAGACUAUUAUUAAAGAUUGGAGCUGCACCUUUCCAUUUCUGAUUUCCAGAAGUUAUAGGAGCAUCAAGAUGAAAUAAUUGUUUAACAUUAAUAACAUGACAAAAAAUCGCCCCAAUAAUGGUCUUAUCUUAUUGUAUUCAAUUAAGAACUUUUAUUUGAACAAUUAUUAUCUUAAGAAUUAUUAUUGGGGCAAUAGGAGGUUUAAAUCAAACAUCCUUACGACAACUUUUAGCAUAUUCAUCAAUCAGACAUCUAGGUUGAAUAAUUAGAUCAUUAACAGUCAGAGAAAACAUCUGAGAACUAUACUUCAUUAUUUACUCACUAUUAAGAUUAAUUAUAGUUUUAUUAUUUAAGCAAAUAGAUUUAUUUUUCAUAAAUCAAAUUUAUUCAGCCAGAAAUAUAAAAACCGAAAUUAAAUUCAUAAUAUUCUUAUCUUUAUUAUCUUUAGGUGGACUACCACCAUUCCUUGGAUUCUUACCAAAAUGAAUUGUAAUACAAUCAUUAAUAGAAAACAAUAUAACAACUAUUAUAACUAUUAUAGUUGUAUUAACUACAAUUACACUCUACUACUAUAUACGUAUUAGAUUCUCAGCUCUAAUUAUAUCAUACACAGAAAAUUCGUGAUCUAUAAAGAUAAAGUCCCAAGAAUCAAGAAUCAUUCUUCCUAUAACAGUAAUAAUUUCAACAAUAGGAUUGAUUUCAACAUCAACCUUAAUUUCAUUAUACUAAGGACUUAAGUUAAUCAAACUAAUAACCUUCAAAGUUAUAAUUAAAAGAAUAAUCUUUUAGGCCUUAGUAAAAUUUUACACCUCUAGAAUUGCAGUCUAGAAUCAUAAUUGAAUAUAAGACCUAAAUAUGAUAAGAGAGAAAACAUCUCAUAAGUAGAUUUACAGUCUACCACCUAAAAUUCAGCCAUCUUACCGCAAAAAUGAUUAUUCUCAACAAACCAUAAGGACAUUGGUACUUUAUACUUCAUAUUUGGAGCAUGAGCAGGAAUAGUAGGAACAUCAAUAAGAAUACUUAUUCGUGCUGAACUUGGCCAACCCGGAUCUCUAAUUGGGGAUGACCAGAUUUAUAAUGUUAUUAUUACAGCUCACGCAUUCGUAAUAAUUUUCUUUAUAGUAAUACCUAUUAUAAUUGGUGGAUUUGGUAAUUGACUUGUUCCACUAAUAAUUGGUGCACCAGAUAUAGCAUUUCCACGAAUAAAUAAUAUAAGUUUUUGAUUACUACCACCUUCACUAACCCUUCUUCUUACAUCUUCUAUAGUAGAUAAUGGUGCUGGUACAGGAUGAACAGUUUACCCUCCUCUAGCAGGAGCUAUUGCACACGGGGGUGCAUCUGUAGAUCUAGCUAUUUUUUCACUGCACUUAGCAGGUGUAUCAUCUAUUCUUGGUGCAGUGAAUUUCAUUACAACAGCAAUUAAUAUACGAUCAGAAAGUAUAACUUUAGAUCAAACACCUUUAUUUGUAUGAUCUGUAGCUAUUACAGCAUUACUUCUCCUUCUUUCACUUCCAGUUUUAGCAGGAGCUAUUACUAUAUUAUUAACAGAUCGAAAUUUAAAUACAUCAUUCUUUGACCCUGCAGGAGGGGGUGACCCAAUUCUAUAUCAACAUCUAUUUUGAUUCUUUGGACACCCAGAAGUUUAUAUUUUAAUUCUACCGGGGUUCGGAAUUAUUUCACAUAUUGUAUGUCAAGAAAGAGGAAAAAUUGAAUCAUUUGGAACAUUAGGUAUAAUUUAUGCUAUACUAUCAAUUGGACUAAUAGGAUUUAUUGUAUGAGCACAUCAUAUAUUUACAGUAGGAAUGGAUGUUGACACACGAGCAUAUUUUACAUCAGCAACAAUAAUUAUUGCUGUACCUACAGGAAUUAAGGUAUUUAGAUGAUUAGCUACAUUAUAUGGAACUAAAUUCAAGUUCAAUCCACCAUUAUUAUGAGCUCUAGGAUUUAUUUUCCUAUUUACAAUUGGUGGAUUAACAGGAUUAGUAUUAGCAAAUUCAUCACUUGAUAUUGUAUUACAUGUUACAUAUUAUGUAGUAGCCCACUUUCAUUAUGUAUUAUCUAUAGGAGCAGUACUUGCAAUUAUAGGAGGUGUCAUUCAAUGAUAUCCACUAUUUACAGGAUUAACUAUAAAUAAUACAUGAUUAAAAAUCCAAUUUACAAUUAUAUUCAUUGGAGUAAAUUUAACAUUCUUUCCUCAACACUUCCUAGGAUUAGCAGGAAUACCUCGACGAUACUCUGACUACCCAGACGCAUAUACAUCAUGACACGUAGUAUCAAGAAUUGGGUCUACAAUUUCUAUUGUAGGAAUCAUUAUAUUCAUUGUAAUUAUAUGAGAAAGAAUGACUACAAACCGAGCAAUUAUAUUUAGAGCUAACAUAAGAAGAUCAACAGAAUGACUACAAAAUAACCCUCCUGCAGAACAUAGUUACUCAGAAUUACCAUUAAUCUCUAGAU